rnacentral:rRNA from 1 species
UACGUAGGCUCCAAGCGUUGUUCGGAAUUACUGGGCGUAAAGCGAGUGUAGGCGGUCCGCCAAGUCAGCUGUGAAAUCUCCCGGCUCAACCGGGAGGGUGCGGCUGAAACUGACGGGCUCGAGUCCGGGAGAGGAGAGUGGAAUUCCUGGUGUAGCGGUGAAAUGCGUAGAUAUCAGGAGGAACAUCGGUGGUGAAGACGGCUCUCUGGACCGGUACUGACGCUGAGACUCGAAAGCGUGGGGAGCAAAC